rnacentral:rRNA from 1 species
AGUUCGAUCCUGGCUCAGAUUGAAGCUGGCGGGAUGUUUACACAUGCAAGUCGAACGGCAGCACGGACUUCGGUCUGGUGGCGAGUGGCGAACGGGUGAGUAAUGUAUCGGAACGUGCCUAGUAGCGGGGAUAACUACGCGAAAGCGCUAAUACCGCAUACGCCCCCGGGGGAAAGCGGGGACCUUCGGGCCUCGCACUAUUAGGAGCGGCCGAUAUCGGAUUAGCUAGUUGGUGGGUAACGGCUCACCAAGGCGACGAUCCGGUAGCUGGUUUGAGAGGACGACCAGCCACACUGGGACUGAGACACGGCCCAGACUCCUACGGAGGCAGCAGUAAUUUUGGACAAUGGGGAAACCCUGAUCCAGCCAUCCCGCGUGUGCGAUGAAGGCCUUCGGGUUGUGAAGCACUUUUGGCAGGAAGAAACGGCACGGAUAAUACUCCCGUGCAACUGACGGUACCUGCAGAAUAAGCACCGGCUAACUACGUGCCAGCAGCCGCGGUAAUACGUAGGGUGCAAGCGUUAAUCGGAAUUACUGGGCGUAAAGCGUGCGCAGGCGGUUCGGAAAGAAAGAUGUGAAAUCCCAGAGCUUAACUUUGGAACUGCAUUUCCUUAACUACCGAGCUAGAGUGUGUCAGAGGGAGGUGGAAUUCGCGUGUAGCAGUGAAAUGCGUAGAUAUGCGGAGGAACACCGAUGGCGAAGGCAGCCUCCUGGGAUAACACUGACGCUCAUGCACGAAAGCGUGGGGAGCAAACAGGAUUAGAUACCCUGGUAGUCCACGCCCUAAACGAUGUCAACUAGCUGUUGGGGCCUCGGGCCUUGGUAGCGCAGCUAACGCGUGAAGUUGACCGCCUGGGAGUACGGUCGCAAGAUUAAAACUCAAAGGAAUUGACGGGAUCGCACGCGGUGGAGGUAUGAUUAAUCACGCUGCGAAUAAACUUACUAUAUCUCUGACAUGUCCGAACCGCAGAUUUGGAGUGCCUUAAAGAACGGAACAGGUGCCGCAUGAUCGACACCGUCAGUUCCGUGCUUGCGAUGUCAAUAGUUAUCCGCUAACGAGGCAAACCCUUACUGUUAUUUUGCUGGCAGAAAGGCAAUCAAAUGAGACUGCCGCGACAAACCGGCGUGGUGGUGUGGUUUUACGCUCAAGUCCUCUACCUAUGGUAGGCUUCACAUCGUCACAAUGGUCGGGACAGAGGGUCGCCAACCCGCGAGGGGAGCCAAUCCCAGAAACCCGAUCGUAGUCCGGAUCGCAGUCUGCAACUCGACUGCGUGAAGUCGGACAAAUCGCUAGUAAUCGCGGAUCAGCAUGUCGCGGUGAAUACGUUCCCGGGUCUUGUACACACCGCCCGUCACACCAUGGGAGUGGGUUUUACCAGAAGUAGUUAGCCUAACCGCAAGGGGGGCGAUUACCACGGUAGGAUUCAUGACUGGGGUGAAGUCGUAAUAAGGUAA